rnacentral:rRNA from 1 species
AACGAACGCUGGCGGCAUGCCUAACACAUGCAAGUCGAACGAUUGCCUUCGGGUGAUAGUGGCGCACGGGUGCGUAACGCGUGGGAAUCUGCCCUUAGGUUCGGAAUAACAGCUGGAAACGGCUGCUAAUACCGGAUGAUAUCGCGAGAUCAAAGAUUUAUCGCCUGAGGAUGAGCCCGCGUUGGAUUUGGUAGUUGGUGGGGUAAAGGCCUACCAAGCCGACGAUCCAUAGCUGGUCUGAGAGGAUGAUCAGCCACACUGGGACUGAGACACGGCCCAGACUCCUACGGGAGGCAGCAGUGGGGAAUAUUGGACAAUGGGCGCAAGCAUGAUCCAGCAAUGCCGCGUGAGUGAUGAAGGCCCUAGGGUUGUAAAGCUCUUUUACCCGGGAAGAUAAUGACUGUACCGGGAGAAUAAGCCCCGGCUAACUCCGUG